rnacentral:ncRNA from 2 species
AAAGGCCCAACCCCUCCAUGCUCGCGGCUUCCUCCUUCUCCAGAUGUGUACCUCCCUACGAGCACCGGCCCGGAAUGCAGUGUGCUGUUACAACUCCCCCGCCGUCAUACUACCCAUAUCCGAACCUUAGAUGGGACACAAGUCACUUCAAGAAGUCUGGUGGUCCCCAGAGAAACAACUAUGUUAUCCAUCCUGAGUUUGUGUCUGAGACCUAUCCCGACUAUCGUUGCUGGUAGAGCCUGGGCUUGCUGUGCCAAGGGGGCAGAGCAAUAAAUAAACUCUUCAACCCCAAA